GNUCGCCUGUUUAUCAAAAACAUUUCUUUUUGAUUAUAUAAAAAGUAAGACCUGCCCACUGACGAUAAAUGAAGGGCCGCAGUAUUUUGACUGUGCGAAGGUAGCAUAAUCAUUAGCUUUUUGAUUGAAGGCUGGCAUGAACGGUCAAACGAAAUUUUAAUUGUCUCUUAAUAAUUUAUUAAAUUUUAUUUUAUAGUGAAAAAGCUAUAAUGUAGUAAAAGGACGAGAAGACCCCGUAGAGCUUUAUAAACAUUAAUUUUUUGGUAAAAAUUAAAAUAAUGUUUAUUGGAUUGGGGUGAUAUUGAAAUAAAUAAACUUUUAUUAUAUAAACAUUAAUAUAUGAAUAUUAGAUCUUAAAAUACAUUAAGAAUAAGUUACCUUGGGGAUAACAGCGUAAUUAUCUUGGAGAGUUCAAAUUGAUAAGGUAGUUUGCGACCUCGAUGUUGGAUUAGAAAAAUUAUUUAAAGCAAAAAUUAAAUAGGUGAGUCUGUUCGACUUUUAAAUUUCUACAUGAUCUGAGUUCAAACCGGAGAAG
rnacentral:rRNA from 1 species